rnacentral:lncRNA from 1 species
GGCAGGCACAGGGACCCAUGGGAACACUUGCCUCCUGGCUGUUAUAAUUAGUGUUGCAAGCUUCCUGGACACCAGAGAAACCUAUAGAGUAAUUCAGAGCGGAUCAGCAGUAUAGGCUGGGGCUGGGGCUGGGGGACAAGGAUAUUUUGCUGUCUCAGAGUGAUCUCCCUGUACCCAGCUGGUGUGGCACCCCCCCUCCCUCCUGUGGAUAGCACAGCCCCUCUCUCUGUGCUGACAUGGGAUUCGCACAGUCCAGAUCUCUGGAAACCCAGGAACUUGUGGAGAAGACGGGCUGUAAGUAGAUGGGGGUUCCCCUGCUGUCCUGGGAUGUGGGGAGGCUGCAUGGACCACAGGGGUGGAGGGUGAUGAUGGGCUGAUACCUCAACUAAUCACUUGCAUGGUUUGGGUUUACAGGGUGAGUGACCAGGACUUAGAGGGGACCAUGCAUAGUGCAUUAGAUGCUGCUUUUAAUAUGUGUGUCUGUGGAAUUAGAAGAGUAUUGUUUUAGAACAUAUAUAUAUAUUUUAUUGGGUGUUGUGUUUAUUUUAAUCAUGAAUUGAUGUAAACUUAUUUAACUGCUGCUUAAAAAAGCAUAGUGAGUAUGACAGAGGGGGCCUGGGGGUAAGGGAGAGGUGCAUUGUUUUUUUGUUUUUUUUAAAGUGUCAAGCCUGAUAAACCUGUUUUGAUGUAUUGUACAAGGGUUAUACAUUGCUGGGUAGGUUGCCUCUAAGAAUCAGUUGUGGAGCUUCACUCUAUCAAGGGACUGCACUGCAAUAUAUAUGGGUAUUUAAAUGAAGACUAAAAACUUCAUCAGUUAAGAACUUCCUCCUAAAUUUUACUAGCAUUUCAACCCUGGGAACGAAAACAAACACAUAUCAGUUUAAUAAAAGUGUGCUUAAAAUAUGCCUUAAGUAAAAGCUCAGAAAAUAUCCCCAGAGCAAAACAAACAUUUCACAGGCUUGCUAGAACAUUUGAGAACUGCAUCAUCAUAACAGCUGCUGUCAUUGAAGUUUUGUCACUGAUCUGCGUUGAUGAAAGAGGAUCUGGGGACACCCCCUACUCCCCUACACCCAUGUAAUAUCUCCUAUUGUAUUCCAUCCUCUCUGCCCUUCUGUAGGUUUCAAAAUAUAUGUGGCACAGCUAAAAUUGACAAGCCAGGAUUUUAGAGUAAUUUGCCUAUUGUAUAGAGUUACUUGCCAGGAUCACAGUGUACAUAGCACAGCACAUUAUUAGCAUCAUUCUUCUUAAAUGUAUAAAUUGGGAGCAGUGAGAGAGUAAAGGAUGGAGUGAGGGUGUAACUGUGUGUCAUAAGCAGCAGGAAGAAUAAAUUGUGCUUUUUGAUUGGCAAACUAGGAUGGUCUACAUAAAAUGUAUAAUUCCAACAGGUAUGAGAUUGCACACAGUUUUAAAAAGUAGUUUGUUUUUUUGUCAAGUUACACGUUUUUAGAUUUUAUUCUCACUAAGUGACACAUAGGCUAUUGAUUAUUAUUAGUAUUUAUUCUCUAGUUUGUAAAUGACUGUUGUAUUUGUAGAUAAACGCGCAAAGCAUAUUGAUUCAAAACCUUUUUUAUAAAGUUAUUGUUCUGUUCAGCUCUGACGCAUAGUUCUGGAAUAUAGUGUAAUAUAAUUUAAUGUACGUUUAGUUUUGUCAGAAUUGUAACUCUUUGUUUUUAGUAAACAAUGGGCUGUGUUGGGUUGACAACUGUUGUGUAAAAUGUAAGCUAAGUGAAUGCUAUUGUCAUCAAUAAUCCAAGUAUAUUUGAUGACUGUACAAAACAAUUCUAGAUGGAAAUUGAAUUGUAAAAUUUAGGCAAAAUGAUCUAAUUUACAAAAAUUCUCCAAAUCAUUUAUAGUCAUAGUAUGGAAACUUUGGUCUAAAUUGUUUAAUUAAUUUCACUACAAUUCAGUGUUUACACAAAACACAAGGACCCUACAGCACUUUAGACAAACUCACAAUAUGCGGUAUUAUAGAUUAUAGAUUGUCUGUGCUGUCUAGUAAGUUGGGGUACACAUACAAACAUGACGUGAAAUGAGGGACUAUAUCUAUGGCUCAAACUAGACUUCAAAUCCUGGCAGAAGUUAAAUUCGAUAGUGCAAACUCAAGUGGUUAUGCGUCUAUCCAAACUGUAGUACCAGGACCUUUAUAAAUAGGUUGCAUGGCACCAAUGUAAACCUAUGUAGCAAUUUUUAAAAUUGUGCAAAGCACCUGAUAGUGGAUGGGAUAGGUAACCCAUCUCCACCUAAGCUAGUAUUCUGUGAAUCUUGUAGCUCUCCAGCUGUAGUUUGAUUUUGGCAUGGCUGGUGUGAGGUCUGUUUCUCCAGGUAAGCAUGCUGAAUUAAUCGCCUAGAUUCUGAAGCAUCAUUAUCCAGCCCUCCCAAUAUCAGGAUGUGGCUGGUACAGAUCAUUAUUUUUCCUACCAGGCACUGUUAUCAGUGGGAGCGCUGGGUGUAUCCUGUUAACCUCUUCCUUGAAUUUUAUAGGAUAUGUAGUGCCACACUCAAUAUCAGGUUUUGUAAUAAGUUUUAUUACAAAUGAAAACACUCAGCAUCAGUUUUUGUUUAGGAAAAUACAUCAAUUAAAUUGCUGCAAAUAUUAAUUAAAACUGCAGCUUGCCAAAUAAGCCAUCUUAUGUUUUUUUUUUAAAUGAAUGAAACUAGAUGGGACAGGAAAAACAUGCUCUGUCAUAUAAGGCAGGAGCUUUGAGGGUGCUUAUUGUUGUUGACUACUUUAUCUUUUUUUUUUUAUCAAACAUACAUGCUGUACAAAAUCUUGGAACAAUCACUUCAGUGAUUUAAAGUGGUCAUGGUAUCUGGAGUUAAUGUGCAACCUUUCGCUGCAAAACCCUGCACAUAUAGAGUUUAACCCCCGUGCUGCCAAAGGUGUAACUCCACCUCCCGCAGCAUCAUUGGAGUGUCAUCAGUCAGCCUGGAACUAGCUAAUGUCAAUUUUGUGCAAAUUUCAUUGUGUUAGUUAUAGGUUGAGAACAGUCAGCUGACACUGUUACCAGACCAGUGAGAGCCUCGGAUCCUGGAAGGGGGCAGAUCGUUACUAAAUGGUUUGCCCAAUUACUGCGACACUGGGCCCGGGUACUACUAGCAUCAUAACUACAGGAGUCUGUAGUGGUUAUGAUGCUUGGAUUAACCCUUUAAUUCUAAAAUGCACAUUUGAUAGUUGAUUAAUCAUUAUUCAUCCAACAGACAAAUAGAAUAAAGCUGCUAUAUAAGAUACAUAACUUUCGGUGGGCUAGUAACUUUUGCUCUUUUGGCUAGUUGGCUUAUCCUGCUACCAGGUAGGCAUUGAUUAUAUUUUUACAGAUCUGAUGAUUUUUUUUACUGUACAGAUAUCUCAUCAAAUAAAAUAAAGCACAAUUUAAUGACACUGUCUCUUGGUAGGAAAAAUGCAGUUUGUUUCUAGGUCUGAGUAUAAAAGCAUAACUUGGUGCCAGUGUACAGCCUUGAAUAUCAGAGAACACACACAGAGCUGCACUUGUCUAGCAGAGCAAACAUCAUGUUUAGCAGCCAAUAUCUUAUAAGAACAUAAUGAAUAAGCAUUUUCUAAAUUUGUUUUAGUGUAUAGAUUAGGAUAUGAGAAUUGGACAUUUUAACCUUGUGAGUUAUAAAGGGGUAGGGCCAAAGAGAGCUUCUGUGUGGUUGCUGCUUUGCCAAAGAAGGGGGAAAAAAGAAUAUUGGGGCAUGCAGUGUUUCUAUCCCACCAGUGGGGGCAGUAUGAUUAGUGCACAUGGAGAGAGGCAUCAAUAGCAGACUUCAGAAGGGAACCUCACCUCAAUCACCCUCAGUAAGGCAAUAAAUUAAAUAAUAAAGUCUUCUUAAAGGGAACUCUAUAAUCAAAAUGUAGAUUUUCUAAUGCAUAUAAUAAUCCUCUGAAAUAAAUGUAUUCAGUAAAAUUUGCACAAAUAUUCCUUAUCGGCAGAACUGGCCUCUUGUUGUCCAUUUUGUACUUCCUUGUUAGUGCUGGGUAUUUUCCAGCCAAAUGUUUCUCAUAAUGAAGCACUGAGGACUGAUUCCCAGUCCAAAAUUCCCCAUAAAGGUGAAUGGUUUCAUUGAAACGUAGCAAUGCUCUGAAAUGGCCGUAAGCAACUGUAAGUUUAAUGAUGGGUUUGAUACUUUUAUGGAUUCAUCUUUUAUGUUGCCCCAAAGCAGGAGACAUGGUUCUCUAAGCUGGAAAAAUCCGCACAAAUGGAGACUCUAAACAGAAUGCUCUAUCUCUUUUAGAAUGUAUUGGCUGAGCCACGUCAAGACUGUUCCAGACUAUUUCUGUGGAGGGAAUCUCCAUGCUGAAUAGAUGCGGGGAGUAAUUGUGAAAAGAGGUAUCCGUGCUAGUGUGGGCGAGGAAUGCAG